AUGACUAGUUGUGGGGACCCCGACUCAUAAGUCGUGAUCACCGAAUGCACGUGUACAGUGAUCCCAGAGAUCAAUGCUCACUGAACACACAGAAGCUGAAUAACAAGAGUCUUACAUCCAUACAUACUGUAUUACACAAGUAGGACCAUUAUGGUCAAGUCUUGAGUAUAACUUCGCAGCGGAAAUCUUCAUCGAUAACUUGGACCCAUGCCAUCUGCCUUAACCCUACAGGCAUUCUGACUAGGAAGCGUCCUAGCUCGAAUGUUCAUCACGAAGUAUUCUUCAUCAUAUCCUGUUCUUUAAUGCCUGGCCAAUAAAAUAACCAGUGGCAAGCCAAUGAAUUUGCAAAGUUGACAAAUAUGAAGAAAUGGCUCAUUAUAUUGUGUGGUACAGAAAGUGUUAGGAAAAAUGUUCAUAAACUAAGUUAUGAACUUAGAAACAUCUAGGAAUUUGAAUCAUGGCAUUUGGACCAAUUUUGACCUCUCUGUGAUUUUCUAAAGUUCAUCACAGAAAUAGGAAAAAUAGGAUUUGAUAAAUAUUUGUGAAGGAAAUGCUUCUGUAAAAAUGUGACAAUAGCACCUUGUGGUAGGGAAUGAUUUUAGAAACUACUAGAAAUUUGGAUCAUCAAAUUUGGAGUUAAUUUGAAUUAUUUAGCAAUUUUACAAUAUUUAUGAAAAAGAAAAGGAAGAAAGGGAAUCAACCUUAUAAAGCGCAUUGGGCGAAGCCCAGCUAAACAGCGCCCACCAGGUUCGGCCCAGUGGCUCAGCUGCGCGAGGGAGGAGGUGACGCCGAAGGCGCACUGCGAGAGGGCGCCACCCAGCG
rnacentral:lncRNA from 1 species